rnacentral:rRNA from 1 species
UACGAGGGGUGCAAGCGUUGCUCGGAAUCAUUGGGCGUAAAGGGCAGGUAGGUGGUCUUGUUUGUCUGAUGUGAAAGCCUUGAGCUUAACUCAAGAAGUGCGUCAGAAACGGCAAGACUAGAGUACUGGAGAGGGUCGUGGAAUUCCCGGUGUAGCGGUGAAAUGCGUAGAGAUCGGGAGGAACACCAGCGGCGAAGGCGGCGACCUGGACAGUGACUGACACUCAACUGCGAAAGCGUGGGGAGCAAACAGG